UGGGGAAUUUUGGACAAUGGGGGAAACCCUGAUCCAGCCAUCCCGCGUGUGCGAUGAAGGCCUUCGGGUUGUAAAGCACUUUUGGCAGGAAAGAAACGUCGCGGGUUAAUACCCCGCGAAACUGACGGUACCUGCAGAAUAAGCACCGGCUAACUACGUGCCAGCAGCCGCGGUAAUACGUAGGGUGCAAGCGUUAAUCGGAAUUACUGGGCGUAAAGCGUGCGCAGGCGGUUCGGAAAGAAAGAUGUGAAAUCCCAGAGCUUAACUUUGGGAACUGCAUUUUUAACUACCGGGCUAGAGUGUGUCAGAGGGAGGUGGAAUUCCGCGUGUAGCAGUGAAAUGCGUAGAUAUGCGGAGAAACACCGAUGGCGAAGGCAGCCUCCUGGGAUAACACUGACGCUCAUGCACGAAAGCGUGGGGAGCAAACAGGAUUAGAUACCCUGGUAGUCCACGCCCUAAA
rnacentral:rRNA from 1 species